rnacentral:rRNA from 1 species
GUGAGGAAUAUUGCGCAAUGGAGGCAACUCUGACGCAGCCAUGCCGCGUGCAGGAAGAAGGCGCUACGCGUUGUAAACUGCUUUUAACCGGGAAGAAACCCCAGGACGUGUCCUGGGUUGACGGUACCGGAGGAAUAAGCACCGGCUAACUUCGUGCCAGCAGCCGCGGUAAUACGAAGGGUGCAAGCGUUAUCCGGAUUCAUUGGGUUUAAAGGGUGCGUAGGCGGAGCGUUAAGUCAGUGGUGAAAUCCUGCAGCUUAACUGUAGACUUGCCAUUGAUACUGGCGCUCUUGAGUGCGCUUGAAGUGGGCGGAAUGUGCCGUGUAGCGGUGAAAUGCUUAGAUAUGGCACAGAACACCAAUUGCGAAGGCAGCUCACUAAGGCGAUACUGACGCUGAGGCACGAAAGCGUGGGGAUCGAACAGGAUUAGAUACUCGGGUAGUCC